UUUAUUGAGUUUUAAGGUAUUUCCUGUAGUGUCAUAAGUGGAAUAUACAACCUCUGUUAUUGCAUUACUGGAAAAAGUAUAUGAAAAAGUCAAAGACAUAGUGUUUAACAAAAAGACUUUGAAAUACAAUAUGCAUGUUGUUUAUUUGAGUUUAAAGGUAUUUUAGGACAACACGUCAUUUGUGUUCUUAAGCUCACGGGUAAAAGAGUCAUUUCCUUCUUAUUAUAUUUUGUCAAGAUGGAGGAAAGAUAUUAAGAGGAGACAUACACUUACUAAAUGUGGUUUUGAUCAUGCCGAAAAUGUAGAAUUGCGUGUUGGUAAAGCUUGUGAUGCCUUUUAUGAAGUUGCUUAUGUGGAGAUACAUAUUGAAGAUGAUUUAUUGAAAGUUAUGAAUUAGAUCAAGGAUUUGAAAAUUGAUUUAACUUGUAAAGAAAGUUCUCCAGUGACUAUAGAAGAAGAAAGAUUAGUUCAAAAUCUAGUGAAUAAAAUUCUUGAUCCUACAGUAGUUCGAAGUAAAGGGCGUCCUCCCUAAAAAAGAAAGGCUUCUAAAGUUAAUCAACUUGUGAAGAAGAAACUUGCGGGAAAUAAAAGUAAAGAAAGCAACAAAAAGAGUAAAAGUUAUCAAAGUCAAGGACAUGUGAUCUUAAAAAUAUUCAAGUUUAUUUUCUCUAGUUAAAUGUAAUAGCAUGUAUGUCUAAUGCUAUAUUUUUUAUAACAGAGGUUGUAUAUACCUAGAUUUCAAGAAACUGAAAGUGCAGGGUUUUCUAUUUCUCAAACCAUUGAUGAGAUUAGCAUACAAGAGAGCAAUCAAGUAAAUUUAGAUCUCUUCAAUCCAAAUCAAAAACAUCUUACUGAAGUAUAUCAGAUGCAAAUAGAUUCUAGCACUCUUUACUUUUAUUUAUAUUAUGGAAAUAGUCGAUUCAUUAUACUUUUUUUUGUAGGUUUCAUAUUAUUGUCAAAGCAUAAACCAUAAUAUUACCUAUUAAGAGCUUUUAGAGGCACAACACCAUAAGAAUUAUCAACUAUAAUCAUGAGGACAUGAAUGAACCACUGCUUUGAGAGAUGAAAGUGGAAAUGAUUCACUGUUUGUCAAUAGAAGAUGAUUGUUGCAGCAACUAUUUAACUCUUCAUCCCUCCUCUUCUUCUCAUCUCUUCCACCUACGCUGUAUCAAUCCCAUUUUUAUCAUCAUGCACAUACCUUCAAACACACAAUUGUUGUAACCUAUUUGGCACAAAAAGAAAUAACUUGUAUCAAUUUCCAAAAUUUUCUAGAUAAAUAAAAUAAUCUGGACAAUA